rnacentral:rRNA from 1 species
UUUUGGACAAUGGGCGCAAGCCUGAUCCAGCAAUGCCGCGUGCAGGAUGAAGGCCUUCGGGUUGUAAACUGCUUUUGUACGGAGCGAAAAGGCUUCCACUAAUACUGGGGGCUCAUGACGGUACCGUAAGAAUAAGCACCGGCUAACUACGUGCCAGCAGCCGCGGUAAUACGUAGGGUGCAAGCGUUAAUCGGAAUUACUGGGCGUAAAGCGUGCGCAGGCGGUUAUGUAAGACAGAUGUGAAAUCCCCGGGCUUAACCUGGGAACUGCAUUUGUGACUGCAUAGCUAGGGUACGGUAGAGGGGGAUGGAAUUCCGCGUGUAGCAGUGAAAUGCGUAGAUAUGCGGAGGAACACCGAUGGCGAAGGCAAUCCCCUGGACCUGUACUGACGCUCAUGCACGAGA